rnacentral:rRNA from 1 species
AGUGAACGCUGGCGGUAGGCCUAACACAUGCAAGUCGAACGGCAGCACAGUAAAAGCUUGCUCUUACGGGUGGCGAGUGGCGGACGGGUGAGGAAUACAUCGGAAUCUACUUUUUCGUGGGGGAUAACGUAGGGAAACUUACGCUAAUACCGCAUACGACCUACGGGUGAAAGCAGGGGAUCUUCGGACCUUGCGCGAUUGAAUGAGCCGAUGUCGGAUUAGCUAGUUGGCGGGGUAAAGGCCCACCAAGGCGACGAUCCGUAGCUGGUCUGAGAGGAUGAUCAGCCAAACUGGAACUGAGACACGGUCCAGACUCCUACGGGAGGCAGCAGUGGGGAAUAUUGGACAAUGGGCGCAAGCCUGAUCCAGCCAUACCGCGUGGGUGAAGAAGGCCUUCGGGUUGUAAAGCCCUUUUGUUGGGAAAGAAAAGCAGCAGGUUAAUACCCCGCUGUUCUGACGGUACCCAAAGAAUAAGCACCGGCUAACUUCGUG